rnacentral:rRNA from 1 species
CCUACGGGAGGCAGCAGUGGGGAAUUUUGGACAAUGGGCGCAAGCCUGAUCCAGCCAUGCCGCGUGCGGGAAGAAGGCCUUCGGGUUGUAAACCGCUUUUGUCAGGGAAGAAAUCUUCUGGGUUAAUACCUCGGGAGGAUGACGGUACCUGAAGAAUAAGCACCGGCUAACUACGUGCCAGCAGCCGCGGUAAUACGUAGGGUGCAAGCGUUAAUCGGAAUUACUGGGCGUAAAGCGUGUGCAGGCGGUUAUGCAAGACAGAUGUGAAAUCCCCGGGCUCAACCUGGGAACUGCAUUUGUGACUGCAUGGCUGGAGUGUGGCAGAGGGGGAUGGAAUUCCGCGUGUAGCAGUGAAAUGCGUAGAUAUGCGGAGGAACACCGAUGGCGAAGGCAAUCCCCUGGGCCUGCACUGACGCUCAUGCACGAAAGCGUGGGGAGCAAACAGGAUUAGAUACCCUGGUAGUCCACGCCCUAAACGAUGUCAACUGGUUGUUGGGAAGGUUCCUUCUCAGUAACGUAGCUAACGCGUGAAGUUGACCGCCUGGGGAGUACGGCCGCAAGGUUGAAACUCAAAUGAAUUGACGG